CCUGAACUACGAUUCUAAACCAUUGAAAGUGUUUUGAAAUAAGCCCAUGAAAGGCGCAUUUGCAGAUUUAUAAACCUCUUCGCAACAAAAAGUCACUGAAGCAGUGUUCGAUAAAAUAGAAUACGGGAGGUUACAAUUCAGUAAACGAGAGGCAAUGAAAUCAGUCCUGCAAUUCAGUGUCACUUGGGUAGGUUCUCUUUCUAUUCGUUUAUUAUAUUUCCUUGGUAGUGAGGGGGGUGCAUGGUUGGUUGUCUUUAGUUGGCGGAAGUGAGAUUUGUUUGUAUGGGGAGGUGAUUGUUGGCUCAAGUGAGUCAUCUUGCUUCGCAUGCUGUCGGUGGGUUUUUGUCAUUGACUUGUUGGGCUGUGUAUGCAAUACCAGGGAGAUGGCAUCUUCUUCUAUUUUUCCCCGUGUCAAUUUUAGUCUGUUGGUUAGCUUUUCUAGUAACCAGGCAGGGGAUUUAAGCUUUUCCUUAAUAACCUCUUUCUCUCUACAACUCUCCUUUCACAGGUUUCUGGAGAUUUUUUUGCAAAAGAAACCACUCCCUGCCACCAUUUCUGCACUACAAUGCUGCACUCAAGGCUGUUUGGCAGAGAAGUGGUUGCUGGUGUUUGUUGCAUAUGUUGGCAUGCAUGGACGUAGGCGGGGG